rnacentral:rRNA from 1 species
GAUGAACGCUGGCGGCGUGCCUAAUACAUGCAAGUCGAGCGAACAGAUGAGGAGCUUGCUCCUCUGACGUUAGCGGCGGACGGGUGAGUAACACGUGGAUAACCUACCUAUAAGACUGGGAUAACUUCGGGAAACCGGAGCUAAUACCGGAUAAUAUAUUGAACCGCAUGGUUCAAUAGUGAAAGACGGUUUUGCUGUCACUUAUAGAUGGAUCCGCGCCGCAUUAGCUAGUUGGUAGGGUAAUGGCUUACCAAGGCAACGAUGCGUAGCCGACCUGAGAGGGUGAUCGGCCACACUGGAACUGAGACACGGUCCAGACUCCUACGGGAGGCAGCAGUAGGGAAUCUUCCGCAAUGGGCGAAAGCCUGACGGAGCAACGCCGCGUGAGUGAUGAAGGUCUUCGGAUCGUAAAACUCUGUUAUUAGGGAAGAACAAAUGUGUAAGUAACUAUGCACGUCUUGACGGUACCUAAUCAGAAAGCCACGGCUAACUACGUG